UCUGGGCAAUGAAGUGUUUGAUGUCUACAAGGCCCCCCUGCAGGGCAAUUACAACCACCUGUUCGUUCGAGAAGACACAGGUCUACAGGGACAAGCCGUCUUCCAAGCCAAGCUCACCUUCAGACCUCACUCUACAGACAGUGUCACACAUAGAAAGAUGACCCUGCUGCUUGCUAAUAGAUGCUCAAGGAUGCAGAAGAUUAGAAUCUUACCAAUGGCUGGUUGUGAUCCUGAGUGCCGGCGCACUGAAAUGAUUAAGGUACGUUUGCUAAGCUCUAUGCUGGGAUUUUUUGGGGGGGUAUUACAGGCUUACUCUCCAGAAUAUUAAUUCACAAUUUUGUAUUGCCACAACCAUUUUAUUUCUUAUAGUUAUCAGGGAGCCAACUUAAACCUAAGUGUGUGGUUAACCCUAGUAAUAUCAGUGGCUUCUGGUGAGAUGUAGCAAAUCAGACACUCAGGUGUUCUCUCUCCAGUUCAUGGGAUUUCAGGGAGAAAUCUGACAGGUUUUAUGACAGGUUAUCAUAAAACUUUGUGAGAUAUGAAGUGCUGGGAAGGUCAAAAGGACAUUCCUGACUCACUCAACUAGGCUCUGUCUUGUGAACACCAGUGUGUGGAUCGCCAGGCAGAGAAGGGUGCGAAGGGUGUGAAAGUUCUACUGUGGGGCUCAGGGACCCUCCCCUGCCAGCACCUCCCCAUCCUGUCAUCAGGAGCGACGGGGAGCUCUCUGGGGUGAGGGGCCCUGACAGGAAUAUGUGAGCACCAUUGUAGUUUGAUGGAGCCUGAGCAAGUUGGGUUGUCUGUCUCAGGGAUUAACAGAAACGGCCGCCCUCAGGCGUCCACUGGGCAAGGAUGAGGUUCUUCAGGCUGGUUGCUGCUCUCCAGACUCUGACUGACGGGCAGCACAAGGGGACGCUGCAGCUCCCAGGGCCGUGCCGGUGCCAGUUCUGAUCGGCCGCUGGUGCGAGAGAGCCCUCGGCCUCUUCACCCUGUGUUACCUUCACGCCUUAGAACUAAAGAGAGUGAUCGCUGUGUGGUAACAGGUGUGGAAUGGAGACAACUAUAUUCUAAAGACAAGAAUUAUAGUAAAUGUAGGUUCAAGUGAGCACAGAGGUAGUUCAUAUUUUUAAGUUAAAUGGUUGAUUUGCUUCUUUACAGAAAAAGGAACGUUUGAGGGCUUCUACUCAGCAGACAGUCCAUCUGUGGGAGGGGCAGAACCAGCAGGGGCUGGGUGUCCCCUACCAGGACCCCAAUAGUGUCCAUGAAGAAGAGGAAGGCAUCAAAGCUGUGAAAAACCAUAACCAAGGGGACCUUUGAGGAGGUGAGCCCUCCAGAAAAAGAAGAGCAGAGGUUAAAGAGGAAGAACAUGACUCAAGUAUGAAGUGUGUGCUCAUUGUGUACAGUUGACCCUUGAACACAGAUCUGAACUGCGCUGGUCCAUUUACACACGGUUUUUUGAUAUAAUGUAUUUUCUCUUCCUUGUAGCUUUCUUUAAUAGCAUUUUCUUUAGCUUACUUUAUUAUGAGCAUAGUAUAUAAUACAUUAAGCAUGCAAGAUAUGUAUUAACUGUUAUCAAUAAGGCUUCUGGUAAAGAGUAGGCUAUUAGUAGUUAAGUUUCUGUGGGUCAAAAGUUGUAUCGGGAUUUUCGACUGUGCAGGGUUUGGGCACCCCUAACCCCAACAUUGUCAGCUGCAUAUUAUUUUCCACAGUUUAUUUUUUUAAUAAUUUUUUUAAUGUUUAUUUUUGGGAGAGACAGAGCAUGAGCAAGGGAGGGGCAGAGAGAGAGG